UUAAUGGAGAGUUUGAUCCUGGCUCAGGACGAACGCUGGCGGCGUGCCUAAUACAUGCAAGUCGAGCGGGGUUGUUUAGAAGCUUGCUUCUAAAUAACCUAGCGGCGGACGGGUGAGUAACACGUAGGCAACCUGCCCACAAGACAGGGAUAACUACCGGAAACGGUAGCUAAUACCCGAUACAUCCUUUUCCUGCAUGGGAGAAGGAGGAAAGGCGGAGCAAUCUGUCGCUUGUGGAUGGGCCUGCGGCGCAUUAGCUAGUUGGUGGGGUAAAGGCCUACCAAGGCGACGAUGCGUAGCCGACCUGAGAGGGUGAUCGGCCACACUGG
rnacentral:rRNA from 1 species